rnacentral:rRNA from 1 species
GACGAACGCUGGCGGCGUGCUUAACACAUGCAAGUCGAACGGAAAGGCCCUGCUUUUGUGGGGUGCUCGAGUGGCGAACGGGUGAGUAACACGUGAGUAACCUGCCCUUGACUUUGGGAUAACUUCAGGAAACUGGGGCUAAUACCGGAUAGGAGCUCCUGCUGCAUGGUGGGGGUUGGAAAGUUUCGGCGGUUGGGGAUGGACUCGCGGCUUAUCAGCUUGUUGGUGGGGUAGUGGCUUACCAAGGCUUUGACGGGUAGCCGGCCUGAGAGGGUGACCGGCCACAUUGGGACUGAGAUACGGCCCAGACUCGUAUGGGAGGCAGCAGAGGGGAAUAUUGCACAAUGGGCGGAAGCCUGACGCAGCAACGCCGCGUGCGGGAUGACGGCCUUCGGGUUGUAAACCGCAUUCGCCUGUGACGAAGCGUGAGUGACGGUAAUGGGUAAAGAAGCACCGGCUAACUACGUG